ACAGCUUACAGCAACUUCCCCCAAAACAAAAAGCGGCGACGAGUGAAAGCGCAUAGAAUUGAGCGUUCCGGGCGGCAGAGCACCCACUGGUAGGAAGUGAAUCAGCGUUGAUCAAAGGGAAAGGAAAGUCCAGGCGGUCGUAGGUUCACGGCCCCCCUGGAUGGGUUUUGGCUUUGGAGCUGGACAAUGUCAGUCUUCACCAAGAUGCAGAAACACCUACGUGUUUCGACAGCCCCUUCCGCUGCUCAUCUGAAUUUCGCAUCGGGGGCUUCAGGCCGUGCCAGCGCACGCUUCCAGGUAAGAUUCUCUGCCGAUUCCUCUCAUUUACAAACACAGCAAAGACGGCCACGCACAGAGCAUCUUAAUUCAUCUGCCUCCAGUCCCUGGUCUUGGGAAGCUGAGAACUUCCCGGCUGUAAAUACUGUUAUGUCUUGUGACAUUUUCCAGCCCUUUCUAAAUAAAUCCCUUUUUUUUGUUUUUUUUUUUAUUUUUUGCUUUCAGAAAGUCAUUCCUCUCUGCCCUAGGAGACAUUUCCCUCUCCCACAUUAGGAGAUGGGGCAAGUUUUCUUUCGCAAAGCAGGAGGCUUUCCCAGCACCCCCCAGCUUUGCUAGAAAGCCCCGCGUUUUGCCCGAGCUCUCGGGGGAACGUGACAAUCCUUUGGUGGCUUCGGUCCCUCUUCUCACACAACCCGUUUGUUCCUUAGUGCCUGGUGGGGCUGCAGAUUUUCAGUGUCAGUUCUGGAUGGUAUUAACGGGGCAGGACAUCACGAAAAGAGACAGAUGCUUCGGUUUAAAAGAAAAGGAAAAAAAAAAAAGAAAAACCAGUGCCUAAACAAGGGAUUUGGCUUUGCCCUGUAACAUUCCCAGUCUGUGCAGGGGGGACCACCCCGGGCAUCCGGGCCAAAGGAGCAAGACUGAGCAAGAAGGAAUAUAACCUAGGAACCUACUACCUGCUAAAUUCUCUAUAAGAGAGAAGGAGUUGGAGCGUUCCUCCCAGCCGCAAAGCUCAGCUCCUUUAUCUUGGAGUGAGUCGACUCCCCUGCUCAGCCCCGCAGUCACUUCACAUGCCAUUUCGCCGUGUUUUUCCUUCCGACACAGAGCCCCAAGAGCAAUUAAAGACUAACCGGGGUUGACAGAUGUUAGUAACAUGCAACCCAGCCGUGGAAACAGCAACGUGGGCAGAUGCGAGGUGCAGAGGAGAGAGCUCUGCAUCUGCCGACUUCAGAGAGCCGAGGAGCCGAAGGAGGGGCCGGAGCAGGGCUCUGCGUCACGGCUCUAUCUGUGCCCUGAUGGAAACUCAGACCUGCUGAGCCUUGUCUGAAGAGAACCAGCCUCCAGCUCCCCCGGUGGGGAAACCCACCCACAUGGGGGACCAGCUCAGCCCACCCUUGAGCUCCGGCCCUGCGAGCAGGGCGGGGGGCUCAGCCAAAAAAGUCACUUGGCUUUGUCCCAGCCGUGCAGGUUUGGUGGCCAUUCCCACGGGCAGCGCAGGCACAGCCGGUUCGUUAACUCACCGAGACGCCCUGCUGCCACGGCUCACCAUCAAUGCCAGGCAUUUUUCUCCACCAAAGAAACAUCAAAGGCUUUGUCUCAUACCAUAGAAUCAUAGAAUGGUUUGGGAUGGAAGGGACCUUAAAGGCCACCCAGUGCCACCCCCUGCCCCGGGCAGGGACACCUCCCACCAGACCAGGUUGCUCCAAGCCCUGGCCAACCUGGCCUUGAACCCCUCCAAGGAUGGGGCAGCCACAGCUUCUCUGGGCAACCUGGGCCAGGGGCUCACCACCCUCACAGUGAAAAAUCAGAUACCAGGUUUUAAUUAAAAAUGCCCAAUCCCUCUGGCUAAUGAACAGACUCCGAAUUCCUUUUUCCAUCACUUUGAGAUUAACCCGAAUGCAUAGUUUACACUACAGCUUCUAGCAAGGGCAAGCUUGAUUGGUGUAACCUUUACUUUUCCUUUCCUACCCCUGAGGCUUUCACGUGCCAGGAGUCAAGGUUGGAGCAAAUCUCCAGUGCAAAGAAGGCCCCGAGUUUAUCUGUAACUCCCGCAACUGACUCUACAUUGGUCUCUGGUUUUUCAGAUUUCCCGUGUACAUUAAAUCCGCAGCAGCUCUUGGGAUUCUGGAAAUAGGGCCCAAGAAGGAGAACUGUGCAAUGGCAAUAACAUUUGGCACAAACACAUUUGUCAUCCACCUCUCAGCCACUCAAUGGGCUGUUGAUGCUGUUAACUACCAUGUAGCCCUCCAUUUCCCCCCAAGGUGUUCAUCAUUUGGAGCUGGGGGGGGGACACGAGGUGAACCAGGAGGCAGCAAUUCUGCACCAGCUGGAAAGGCACGGAGCUGGCAGAGGAGGCUCGCGUGGCCAGCAAAACCCUCCAGGGAGCAAGUCCUUUGAAGGCCUUGGAGAAGAGCCCUGGUGCUCACGAGCCAGCCCUCAUGUGAUUUCUGUCGUGGGUUUACACCAGCUCUAAUUUACUCUGAGCUGGAGGUUGCACUGGGCCACCAGGUGGCCACCAAGUGGGGGUUGCCAGACCCCAGCAGAGAGCAGGGAUUCACAGAGGUGCCAAGAGGCUUUUGAAAACACCAAAGCUGUUGAGAUCUCAGCUGCCUUCCUUACGCGGGCACUUCUAGAAAUCCCCCUUAAUGUUUAAUUAAGUGCGUGAGCUACAUGCCGGUGCUUGGUGAGCAAGAAACCUUCCUUUGGUGUCUCCUGAGAUCCCCAGGUAAAACCUCAGCCGGCACAAAAAGACGCUCCCCUCAGUCAACACAAUUACAUGCCAUCUGUAGUGAGGAUUGAAGUAUCCAAGGUGUCAACUCUGACCACCUAAAGAGAGAGGAAGCCAGGAGCAUGAGGGCAGCGUGGUGCCUCCGGGCUCUACACACCUCCAGACCACAGCUCCAGGAUGGGCUCCUAAAACAAACCCCAGUUUGGCUCAGUUCAGCCCCAAACCUGCCCCGUUUCACAGGUCCGGUGUCCAGCAGGACACCUGGUGUCCCAGCCGGACCGCGAUCCCUGAAGACGCAGGCACGAACCACCGUCACACCAGACGAACGUCGCACUUCCCAGCACCCAGGUUACGUUUGCAAGCAGCCGAUUUGCGAUGGAAAAAAAAAAAAAAAGAGAAAUGAAGCCACCAAAGCUGCUGCCACCUCUCCCAGCGGCGAAUCCCCGCGGCUGGUGGGUGACGGGGGCCAUUGGUUCCCUCCUGCACGGUGGCCGGGGCCGUCCCCGCGCGGCCGAGGGUGGGGUGCGCACGCACUGUUAUUCUGGGUAAUAAGAUGCCUGUCAACAUAUAAACCAAUUAGGUGCAGCUUUUGUGUUCGUAAUAAGGCCGGGCAAAAUGCUUUCUCUGAGCAAGUGCUUUCAAGUGAAAAACAGCUUCUGAAAGAAUCUGACAGUUCGCACAUGAGGUUUCAGUUUGCUCAGGGUUUGGGUUUGGUUUUUUGGUUGGUUUUUUUUUUUGGUUUUUUGUUCAAUUUGUUUUUUUUUUCAAUUCAAGUAAUGAAAAUUCUCACAUUGUUUCAAACUAAGAAACUGCGUCUCAGUUUUCAGCGAUCCCUCCCUCACACGCACACACAUUCAGUUGCUCUGAGCUUUUCAUCCCUUCCCUUUUUUUUUUUAAUCACAGGAGAAAGAUGGAAAAAAAGGAAAGAAAAGAAAAAAUACCUUUGAGCGCAACACGCUGGAAACAAUUAUUUUCUUCAUUUAAUCAUAUGGACUUAUUUCAAACCAAUUUUGUGUGCGUUUUCCGUGUACUACCAAGCAGGAUCCACAUUUUGGGGUGGGAAGUGUUUACCAUUCCAGUUUAACUUUUCAAAUUACCAGUUAACCACUGGCGUCACAGACUAGGCUUUACCUUACAGAUAAACCCUGAGUUCUGGCUUGAAUCAGGGAUGAGGAAACAUAGACACCCUUGUACUCUGCCUGUGACUAUAGAAGCCCCCACAACUGGUUUUGUCCCAGGUGGAAAAGCUGAAGAAGAGCGAAUUAGUCCCAUCUAUCCUAUAACUUUUCAGAAGACAAGAUGGAAAACUCCCAUUUAGUCUAAAUGGAGGCAUCAAACAAGUUUUGCAUUUGGGGUUCAAGCACGGAGUGCUAUAAGUGAGGCCGCGUGAUUUUUAUUAAUAAAAACCCCAAGAUGAUCCCCAAAACAAGGACCCAGCAGUGCUGGCUCAGCUCCUCUCUCCAGCGGUUACUCAGCUCUCCGGACCCUAGACGUGGGAUCUGUGCUGCAAAAAGGCUUUCGGAGAAGAAUUGCGGAUGGAAAGGAGGAGCCUCGGAGGAAGCGGGUUUUGCAAGAAGACGCUCGUACAGAGCCCUGUGUGCAGGGCUUGGAGAUUAAACGCUCGCAGCAUUUCAAUUUGGCUGGCUAAGCGCCGAAACUCUCCUCCUCCCCGAGAUGCCGCGGGUGGCCCUAAACCAUCGUGCAGCACCUCGAAACAACCGCAGAGCGUAAUUCCCUGAGCCAUCCGCGCCGCGUUACAGAGCAGUCAGCAACGUUACUCGUGUUGUAGCCACAGCAUCGGUGCUGCCCUGGGCCAUUCCAGGUUGGCCGGACACCUACGGCUCAUUGUGCAACACAGGACUAGCAGGAAAGGGAGACAGGGGUGGGGUGAAAAAUCACCUUGAGAAAAAUUCCUGCUUUUUACCAGCUGGUCAGUGACCACAGGAGAGCUAUUUUGUAAUCAAAGGCGAAAAGUCACACGCCCUGGCACCCGCAAUCCCCUUGCAAUAGAUCCAUAAGUCGCAGAGACGCAUUCACUAUGGAAAGCUGUUUUGGUUUCGAGAUGGAUCGGUUUAAGGAGGGAACUCUCAGCGUCGCCUUGCGGCAGGAUGCGGCCCCACACGGUCCCUGCAGAGCGAUGCCGGGCACCCGGCGGUCUCCGUGCGUUCGUGGCUGGCGGGCCCACCUGCCACAGCUGAAGGGGUUUUGUUCCACCUUCCAGCAAGAAAAAAAAACAACAAAAAACUGGGGGGAAGGGAGAUAUGAAACCUACCCAAAUGUUUAAAGGAAAGGAAAAACCCCUCCCGUCACAAGAAAUGGCAAGCCUCGCAACAUGUGCAAAAGCGAUUUCCAGAAACAAGUGGAAUCCAGUUCCCUUUUUAUACGACGACAGCGAGGGGAUACAAGAGCAGCAGCACGGGAAAGCAAGAGGAGACAGAGGACGCGGGGCUCGCGCUUGAUGUUUGGGGCCAGCAAAGUCUUCGGGUGGAAAGAGCUCUUAACCUUGCAGGUUAUUUUGCAAAGCAGCCCAGUGCCCGCAGCCUUCGCCUCCCAUAGCAGCGACGAGCAUCGUUCAGGCUGCAACUUCAGACUGUCUCUCCAUGAAGGACCAGCAAGGCACAAUCAGACACAGUGAUCCUUGCUUAGACUCAUCUCAGCAACAUUCUUCAUUUUUUCCAUGAAGAAACUGCAAGCAGAGGGGAGGGGCCAAGGGGGCUGAGAGCAACGUGUCCCCACGUAUGUGAGCAAAUAGAUUUCAACGAAAAAAAAAUAAGAAAAUAGGAUCGCUAAAGGUCUGUGGGCAUGAAUGGUCUGGGGAAUUCCCAAGGGCUGCUUUGAAACCCAACGUGUUGUAUUUUGAAAUGGACACAGACCUUGGCGGGAAGUGGGGGAGCAGACAGUAAUGGUUUAAUAGACUGUGGAAUGGCUAUAAAAAAAAAAAAAAAAAAAAAAAGAAAGGGGAAAAAAGAAAAAGCAGAUGGCAGCCCCUUUGCAGGAGCCAUAAAAUUUCAUGGUGUAUUUUCUAUCCAUGGCUUCACUGUAAUUCAAGCCUUGGGGGCCAGCUUUCUCUGGCAGUGGUUACUGAGGGGCCUUGGAGGGCAGCAGUAACAGAGGGUGGACACUUCUUGGGCCCUUUGACCAAAUGCUCCCUUUGGGGCUGGAACAGGAAAUAAAAAGCCAAUCUUCUCAGAGAAACACCUAGGAGACAUCCCAAACGCAGCCUGAAAGCAGCAGGUCAGAGCCCCAGAAAUUAAAUCAAGAAAACCCAAAAAGGUUCUAGGAAAGAGAAAUGGAGAAGGAGGCUCUUUGGAUCUACAUCCAGAAAACCAAGCUCACAGGAGAUCUACUGUCCCUCAACACAGCCCCCACCUCGCAUGAAAAAAUAUUUUAAUUUCCAAAGCCGUGUCCUGCCUGGGCCACUGGGCUCUUGGGAAGGGCACGGUCAGGCCAAGACUGUACCAGUCUUACAAGCAAACCUCUUAAACCUCCGCUUUUUGCUUGUAACUGUGCUUAAACACUGUCCCAUGGUCCAGGCACCUGUCUCUGAAUUUGAUCUAAACGUUUAAGGUCCAACUCGAGACCACACCUAGAUUUGACUUUGGCUUAUUCCCAUGUAAGAUUUGAACUGAGAUCCCAGACGUGAAUGCCAAUAAAUCAGACGGUAAAGGUUAACAUGUACAUUUUUUGGGUCCGUCUCCAGUUAUUAGCAGCACCCUGCACCUCAGUAACAGAGUUUGGGCCAAUUCUGGCGGUGUUUCAAGUUUGCAGUUUGUCUGUUAACAAAAUCCGCCCCCCCCGGUGACAUCGGUUUUUUGUUUGACGCCACGUAAGGCAGCGGCGCUAUGUGAGCGGAGCACCCAGCAAACGUCAGUACGGUCAACCCGGCCCACACCGCUCAUUCGUCAUCUCUUGCAGGUACCGGAGAGCGUCACCAAACCCAGAAACGCAACACACCUUCCA